GACGAACGCUGGCGGCGUGCUUAACACAUGCAAGUCGAACGGAAAGGCCCCUUUGGGGGUACUCGAGUGGCGAACGAGUGAGUAACACGUGCGUAACUUGCCCUUGACUUCGUGUGAACUUAAGUAAACUGGGGCUAAUACCGGCCAGGAAUCCUUUCCUGCUGCAUGGGGUUGGAAAGCUUGGGUGGGUUUGGGGGGACUCGCGGCUUAUCUGGUUGUUGGUGGGGUAGGGGCUUACCAAGGAUUUGACGGGUAGCCGGCCGGGGAGGGCGACCGGCCACAAUGGGAAUGAGAUACGGCCCAGACGCCUACGGGGGGGAGCAGGGGGGAAUAUUGCACAAUGGGCGGGAGCCCGAUGCAGCAACGCCGGGGGCGGGAUGACCGCCUUCGGGUUGUAAACCGCUUUCAGCAGGGGCGGAGCUUGUGGUGACGGUAACUGGAGAAGAAGCACCGGCUAACUACGUG
rnacentral:rRNA from 1 species